GAUGAACGCUGGCGGCGUGCCUAAUACAUGCAAGUCGAGCGAACGGACGAGAAGCUUGCUUCUCUGAUGUUAGCGGCGGACGGGUGAGUAACACGUGGAUAACCUACCUAUAAGACUGGGAUAACUUCGGGAAACCGGAGCUAAUACCGGAUAAUAUUUUGAACCGCAUGGUUCAAAAGUGAAAGACGGUCUUGCUGUCACUUAUAGAUGGAUCCGCGCUGCAUUAGCUAGUUGGUGAGGUAACGGCUUACCAAGGCAACGAUGCAUAGCCGACCUGAGAGGGUGAUCGGCCACACUGGAACUGAGACACGGUUCAGACUCCUACGGGAGGCAGCAGUAGGGAAUCUUCCGCAAUGGGCGAAAGCCUGACGGAGCAACGCCGCGUGAGUGAUGAAGGUCUUCGGAUCGUAAAACUCUGUUAUUAGGGAAGAACAUAUGUGUAAGUAACUGUGCACAUCUUGACGGUACCUAAUCAGAAAGCCACGGCUAACUACGUG
rnacentral:rRNA from 1 species